AUUGAACGCUGGCGGCAUGCUUUACACAUGCGAGUCGAACGGCAGCGCGGGCUUCGGCCUGGCGGCGAGUGGCGAACGGGUGAGUAAUGCAUCGGAACGUGCCCAGUAGUGGGGGAUAGCCCGGCGAAAGCCGGAUUAAUACCGCAUACGACCUGAGGGUGAAAGCGGGGGACCGAAAGGCCUCGCGCUAUUGGAGCGGCCGAUGUCGGAUUAGCUAGUUGGUGGGGUAAAGGCUUACCAAGGCGACGAUCCGUAGCUGGUCUGAGAAGACGACCAGCCACACUGGGACUGAGACACGGCCCAGACUCCUACGGGAGGCAGCAGUGGGGAAUUUUGGACAAUGGGGGCAACCCUGAUCCAGCCAUGCCGCGUGCGGGAAGAAGGCCUUCGGGUUGUAAACCGCUUUUGUUCGGGAAGAAAUCCUCUGGGCUAAUACCCCGGGGGGAUGACGGUACCGGAAGAAUAAGCACCGGCUAACUACGUG
rnacentral:rRNA from 1 species